rnacentral:rRNA from 1 species
UGGGGAAUAUUGCACAAUGGGCGCAAGCCUGAUGCAGCCAUGCCGCGUGUAUGAAGAAGGCCUUCGGGUUGUAAAGUACUUUCAGCGGGGAGGAAGGGAGUAAAGUUAAUACCUUUGCUCAUUGACGUUACCCGCAGAAGAAGCACCGGCUAACUCCGUGCCAGCAGCCGCGGUAAUACGGAGGGUGCAAGCGUUAAUCGGAAUUACUGGGCGUAAAGCGCACGCAGGCGGUUUGUUAAGUCAGAUGUGAAAUCCCCGGGCUCAACCUGGGAACUGCAUCUGAUACUGGCAAGCUUGAGUCUCGUAGAGGGGGGUAGAAUUCCCGGUGUAGCGGUGAAAUGCGUGGAGAUCUGGAGGAAUACCGGUGGCGAAGGCGGCCCCCUGGACGAAGACUGGCGCUCAGGUGCGAAAGCGUGGGGAGCAAACAGG